UACGGAAGGUCCGAGCGUUAUCCGGAUUUAUUGGGUUUAAAGGGAGCGUAGGCGGAAGCUUAAGUCAGCCGUUAAAUAACGGGGCUCAACCCCGUAGUGCGGUUGAAACUGGUCUUCUUGAGUGCACGAGAGGUAAGUGGAAUUCGUGGUGUAGCGGUGAAAUGCUUAGAUAUCACGAAGAACUCCGAUUGCGAAGGCAGCUUACUGGUGUGUUACUGACGCUGAUGCUCGAAGGUGCGGGUAUCAAACA
rnacentral:rRNA from 1 species